AACGGCUCCCAACUUUCAAAAGUGUCCCAUAUUACGUGUGGACGGAGAGUCUCAUAAAUGUGAAUAUAUGUGUGUUUGUGUAUAUAUCUUAUAUAAAUAAGGUCAAAAUAAUAACAAUAAAUUUCAAUCAUGUUGAUGUUUGAUUUCUCCCUUGAUCUUGGCUAUACCUGUAUUACGAAGAAGUUGGAUGGAUGUUGUAAUGCUGAAGGUAUAUUAUAUUGGCUAAUUCUACAGAUUAUCAUUGAUUUUUGGAAGUAAAAACGAUUUUCUCCUUCUUUUUGGUGCUAUGGUUUGAAAAACCCUAAUUCUCAUUCUCUAUCUCCCUCAAAACUACAUAGAUCGAGAAGCAAAACCCUAAACCUAAUCCUAACUCUCAUUCUCUAUCUUCCUCAAAACUACAUAAAUUGAGAUGCAAAACCCUAACCCUAACUCUCUAUCUCUAUCUCCCACAAAACUACAUAACUCAUUGCACCCGAUUUCUCUUUUUCUCUCUCCCUCGUGGUUGGCGUGAUCUCUGUCUGCCUAUUCCGAUGGGUUUUUAUAGAAUUCUCUCUCUCUCUCUCUCUCUCUCUCUCUCUCUCUCUCUCUCUCUCUCUCUCUCUCGUUACAGGAGGAAUUAGCGUCGGUUCUUACGCCAGAAGGACGUUCCAGCAGCGUGCGUCUGACGCCGUGAAAUUCGGUUUGUGGGUCGGAUCUUUUGUUGAAGUCUGGCGAUCAUACAUUGAUCAGGGGAUUUGUAGAGGAUUUGCAGAGGGUUAUAGAGACUUGAUCGAAAAGCUAAGCUUCAGCUGCUCCUAUAAAAGGACAGCCUUUUUGUGCUUUGCUGAAUGAUCAUAACACGCGCAGUUUGGAUGGAUCCACUGCUACUGUGAUUUAUGUGCCUUACAUCCACACCGUUCAUCCAUUUUGAUAGUUCAUUUUAGCGUAUUAUCCGAAAAAUGAAACGGACCCAAAUCUCAGGUGGGCCAUAAUACAGGAAACAGCAGUGAUCAACAAUUAGAAACUACUCGUGAGCCACAAAAGAUUUUGAUCAAGCUGAUAUUUGUGUGGUCUCUUCAUUUAGGUCUUUGUAACCUUAUCAACAGGUUGGAUGGAAAAUAAACAUUCCGAUGGCCCCCAUAAAGUUUUAAUGAUUGGGAUUCAAUCCGGACUGUUUCCUGUGGUGUGUUCCACCUAAGAUUUGAAUCUGCUUCAUCUUUUUUACAUCAUGCCUAAAAAUAAGGUUUCUAAAGGGAUGGACCGCGUGGAUAUAAGGAACAUACAUCAUGGUGGGCCCACUUCGAUGCAUUAUUCCCUAUCCAAUGCAUCAAUUUAUUU